ACUCAAAUGAAUUGACGGGGGCCCGCACAAGCGGCGGAGCAUGUGGAUUAAUUCGAUGCAACGCGAAGAACCUUACCUGGGUUUGACAUGCACAGGACGCAUCCAGAGAUGGGUGUUCCCUUGUGGCCUGUGUGCAGGUGGUGCAUGGCUGUCGUCAGCUCGUGUCGUGAGAUGUUGGGUUAAGUCCCGCAACGAGCGCAACCCUUGUCUCAUGUUGCCAGCGGUUCGGCCGGGGACUCGUGAGAGACUGCCGGGGUCAACUCGGAGGAAGGUGGGGAUGACGUCAAGUCAUCAUGCCCCUUAUGUCCAGGGCUUCACACAUGCUACAAUGGCCGGUACAAAGGGCUGCGAUGCCGUGAGGUUAAGCGAAUCCUUGGUAAAGCCGGUCUCAGUUCGGAUCGGGGUCGCUAGUAAUCGCAGAUCAGCAACGCUGCGGUGAAUACGUUCCCGGGCCUUGUACACACCGCCCGU
rnacentral:rRNA from 1 species